rnacentral:rRNA from 1 species
GACGAACGCUGGCGGCGUGCUUAACACAUGCAAGUCGAACGGAAAGGCCCUGCUUUUGUGGGGUGCUCGAGUGGCGAACGGGUGAGUAACACGUGAGUAACCUGCCCUUGACUUUGGGAUAACUUCAGGAAACUGGGGCUAAUACCGGAUAGGAGCUCCUGCUGCAUGGUGGGGGUUGGAAAGUUUCGGCGGUUGGGGAUGGACUCGCGGCUUAUCAGCUUGUUGGUGGGGUAGUGGCUUACCAAGGCUUUGACGGGUAGCCGGCCUGAGAGGGUGACCGGCCACAUUGGGACUGAGGUACGGCCCAGACUCCUACGGGAGGCAGCAGUGGGGAGUAUUGCACAAUGGGCGGAAGCCUGAUGCAGCAACGCCGCGUGCGGGAUGACGGCCUGCGGGUUGUAAACCGCUUUCGCCUGUGACGAAGCGUGAGUGACGGUAAUGGGUAAAGAAGCACCGGCUAACUACGUG